CACGUAGGGGGCAAGCGUUGUCCGGAAUCAUUGGGCGUAAAGAGCUCGUAGGCGGCUCAAUAAGUCGGGUGUGAAACCCCCAGGCUCAACCUGGGGACGCCACCCGAUACUGUUGUGGCUAGAGUCCAGUAGGGGAGUGUGGAAUUCCCGGUGUAGCGGUGAAAUGCGCAGAUAUCAGGAGGAACACCAGCGGCGAAGGCGGCGCUCUGGGCUGGAACUGACGCUGAGGAGCGAAAGCGUGGGGAGCGAACAGG
rnacentral:rRNA from 1 species